rnacentral:rRNA from 1 species
GUGGGGAAUAUUGGACAAUGGGCGAAAGCCUGAUCCAGCCAUGCCGCGUGUGUGAAGAAGGUCUUCGGAUUGUAAAGCACUUUAAGUUGGGAGGAAGGGUAGUAACCUAAUACGUUGCUACUUUGACGUUACCGACAGAAUAAGCACCGGCUAACUUCGUGCCAGCAGCCACGGUAAUACGAAGGGUGCAAGCGUUAAUCGGAAUUACUGGGCGUAAAGCGCGCGUAGGUGGUUCAGUAAGUUGGAAGUGAAAUCCCCGGGCUCAACCUGGGAACUGCUUUCAAAACUGCUGAGCUAGAGUACGGUAGAGGGUGGUGGAAUUUCCUGUGUAGCGGUGAAAUGCGUAGAUAUAGGAAGGAACACCAGUGGCGAAGGCGACCACCUGGACUGAUACUGACACUGAGGUGCGAAAGCGUGGGGAGCAAACAGGAUUAGAUACCCCUGUAGUCC